CACGUAGGGUGCAAGCGUUGUCCGGAAUCAUUGGGCGUAAAGAGCUCGUAGGCGGCUUAGUAAGUCGGGUGUGAAAACCCCAGGCUCAACUUGGGGACGCCACCCGAUACUGCUAUAGCUAGAGUCCAGUAGGGGAGUGUGGAAUUCCCAGUGUAGCGGUGAAAUGCGCAGAUAUUGGGAGGAACACCAGCGGCGAAGGCGGCACUCUGGGCUGGUACUGACGCUGAGGAGCGAAAGCGUGGGUAGCGAACAGG
rnacentral:rRNA from 1 species